rnacentral:rRNA from 1 species
CCUACGGGUGGCAGCAGUGGGGAAUAUUGGACAAUGGGGGGAACCCUGAUCCAGCGACGCCGCGUGAGUGAAGAAGUAUUUCGGUAUGUAAAGCUCUAUCAGCAGGGAAGAAAGAAAUGACGGUACCUGACUAAGAAGCCCCGGCUAACUACGUGCCAGCAGCCGCGGUAAUACGUAGGGGGCAAGCGUUAUCCGGAUUUACUGGGUGUAAAGGGAGCGUAGACGGCGAUGCAAGUCUGAAGUGAAAGGCGGGGGCCCAACCCCCGGACUGCUUUGGAAACUGUAUGGCUGGAGGGCAGGAGAGGUAAGUGGAAUUCCUAGUGUAGCGGUGAAAUGCGUAGAUAUUAGGAGGAACACCAGUGGCGAAGGCGGCUUACUGGACGGUAACUGACGCUGAGGCUCGAAAGCGUGGGGAGCAAACAGGAUUAGAUACCCGAGUAGUC